ensembl:misc_RNA Metazoa_SRP Metazoan signal recognition particle RNA
GCUGGGCAUGGUGACUCAUGCCUGUAAUCCCAGCACUUUGAGAGGUUGAGGCAGGAGGAUUGCUUGAGCCCAGGAGUUUGAGACUAGCCUGGGCAACAACGCGAGACUCAGUCUCUUUUAAAAAAAAAAAUUAGCUGGGUGUGGUGGCAUGUGCCUGUAGUCCCAGCUAUUCAGGAGGCUGAAGCAGGAGGAUCACUUGAACCCAGGAGGUCGAGGCUGCAGUGAGCUGUGUUUGUGCCACUACAUUCCAGCCUGGGCAACAAAGUGAGACCCUGUCUCA